GGUUCAAUGGUCUAGUGGUUAUGAUUUCUGUCUUACACCCACAAGGUGGCACUGUAUAAUCACAGAAGGUCUCCAGUUCGAUCCUGGAUUGAACCA